UACGUAGGGGGCUAGCGUUGUCCGGAAUCAUUGGGCGUAAAGAGCGCGUAGGCGGCCAGAUAAGUCCGGUGUGAAAGUCAAAGGCUCAACCUUUGAAUGCCGCUGGAAACUGUCUGGCUAGAGUCCGGGAGGGGCGAGUGGAAUUCCUGGUGUAGCGGUGAAAUGCGCAGAUAUCAGGAGGAACACCAAUGGCGAAGGCAGCUCGCUGGAACGGUACUGACGCUGAGGCGCGAAAGCCAGGGGAGCGAACGGG
rnacentral:rRNA from 1 species